GAUUAACGCGAAGAACCUUACCUACCCUUGACAUGGUCGGAAUCCCGCUGAGAGGUGGGAGUGCUCGAAAGAGAACCGGCGCACAGGUGCUGCAUGGCUGUCGUCAGCUCGUGUCGUGAGAUGUUGGGUUAAGUCCCGCAACGAGCGCAACCCUUGUCCUUAGUUGCUACGCAAGAGCACUCUAAGGAGACUGCCGGUGACAAACCGGAGGAAGGUGGGGAUGACGUCAAGUCCUCAUGGCCCUUAUGGGUAGGGCUUCACACGUCAUACAAUGGUCGGAACAGAGGGUUGCCAACCCGCGAGGGGGAGCUAAUCCCAGAAAACCGAUCGUAGUCCGGAUUGCACUCUGCAACUCGAGUGCAUGAAGCUGGAAUCGCUAGUAAUCGCGGAUCAGCAUGCCGCGGUGAAUACGUUUCCCGGGCCUUGUACACACCGAAUC
rnacentral:rRNA from 1 species